rnacentral:rRNA from 1 species
UACGAACCGUCCAAACGUUAUUCGGAAUCACUGGGCUUAAAGGGUACGUAGGCGGCGCUGUUAGUCGGGUGUGAAAUCCCUCGGCUCAACCGAGGAAUCGCGUCCGAUACUGCAGUGCUUGAGGGAGACAGAGGUAAGCGGAACUGAUGGUGGAGCGGUGAAAUGCGUUGAUAUCAUCAGGAACACCGGUGGCGAAAGCGGCUUACUGGGUCUCUUCUGACGCUGAGGUACGAAAGCUAGGGGAGCGAAGGGG